rnacentral:rRNA from 1 species
AUGGAAUUUGCCAUAUCUGUAGUAACAAAUGAGCUCGUGACCCGAUUCAUCUCCUUCCCCACCAACAGGUAUUCAUGCCAUGCAUGCUCUUACGAGAAGCGUCUGCAGAGGCUGCAGCGACUGCUCCUUAGAGUUCACACCGUCGUCGAGGAGGCGGACGGGCGGUACAUCACCAACUCUGGGAUGCUGGUACAGCUCAAGAUGCUCACGGACGCCAUGUAUCAAGGAUACUGGAUGAUGGGCGCGUUCAACUACGGAUCCCUCAAGGAGACUCUUAUGGCGGAUGAGGAGGAGGAGGAGGUUAGCAGCUCAUUAUUUCGUCUCAAACGUUCUCGUAUAAUUCAUGGGAGUGCUAGAACACACAAGGCAAGACAUCUCAUGGAGUUUCAUGGUGCAGUGGAGAGCCUAGAAAUUGCGGUUGCCAACAUCACAGAGUUUGUUGUGAUUUUGAGUGGAUGCGACCGUAUGGUGUGCAGACCAUAUGAUACAUAUCUUUACAUUGACAACUUUGUGUUUGGCCACCAUUCGGAAAAGCAAAUGAUCUUGAGCUUCCUCUUGCAAGACAGCCCUGCUGCUGCCGUGCCGACCGUUCUUCCAAUCAUUGGCGGUUUUGCGGUGGGGAAGAAAACUUUGGUCCUGACAUAUGAGGAGUUCGGCUACCUCUUCAAGGCACUCGCAUUCGGAAGUGCAAACCCGGGGGAACACCCGCAGUUAGUACAAAUAGCAGACCGGUUUGCCAGAGAGUUACAAUCGCGGUGGUCAAUUCUCGCUGCAAAUUUGUUUGCAGAUGUAAUGAGAGCGAACCUGAAUGUUCAUUUCUGGCUUAGUAUAUUGAGCAGGUGCAGGAGACUAGUUGAUAGAAACCUCGCCAUGUUUGGUGAGCAUCCAAAACUACGUCUUGAAAAAGGUCUUCCAAUAGAUGUGACGGACAUGGUUCUGUGUCUGGCUUCUCCACUUCAGUUCAUCUGGAAUAGCUCAAACAAUGUUUUAGCGAAGGAAUUACCACAAGUGACCUUUACAGAGCUAUUAGUGGAUCUUAAGCCAAAGAUGCAGGCCACAGUAGUGAGAUUUGAAUCAAGAAUUCCACCUUAUACUACAUUUGAUCACAUUCUUUCAAGAUAUGCUCAAGAUACUCCUCAGCUCGGGGCCAAGCGUAGAAUAGUGCCUUAA